GUGGGGAAUCUUGCGCAAUGGGCGAAAGCCUGACGCAGCCAUGUCGCGUGAAUGAUGAAGGUCUUAGGAUUGUAAAAUUCUUUCACCGGGGACGAUAAUGACGGUACCCGGAGAAGAAGCCCCGGCUAACUUCGUGCCAGCAGCCGCGGUAAUACGAAGGGGGCUAGCGUUGCUCGGAAUUACUGGGCGUAAAGGGCGCGUAGGCGGAUCGUUAAGUCAGGGGUGAAAUCCCAGAGCUCAACUCUGGAACUGCCCUUGAUACUGGCGAUCUUGAGUGUGAGAGAGGUAUGUGGAACUCCGAGUGUAGAGGUGAAAUUCGUAGAUAUUCGGAAGAACACCAGUGGCGAAGGCGACAUACUGGCUCAUUACUGACGCUGAGGCGCGAAAGCGUGGGGAGCAAACAGGAUUAGAAACCCCGGUAGUCC
rnacentral:rRNA from 1 species